rnacentral:rRNA from 1 species
GACGAACGCUGGCGGCGUGCUUAACACAUGCAAGUCGAACGGAAAGGCCCUGCUUUUGUGGGGUGCUCGAGUGGCGAACGGGUGAGUAACACGUGAGUAACCUGAUCUAGAUUUUGGGAUAACUUCAGGUAACUGGGGCUAAUACCGGAUAGGAGCUCCUGCUGCAUGGUGGGGGUUGGAAAGUUUCGGCGGUCGGGGAUGGACUCGCGGCUUAUCGGCUUGUUGGUGGGGUGGUGGCUUACCAAGGCGUUGACGGGUAGCCGGCCUGAGGAGGUGACCGGCGGCAUUGAGGCUGAGGGACGGCACAGACGGCUAAGGGAGGCAGCAGGGGGGAAUAUUGCACAAGGGGCGGAAGCCGGAUGCAGCAACGCCGCGGGCUGUAUAGCGGCCUUCGUGUUGAAAAACGCUAGCACCUGUAACGCAGCGUGAGUGACGGGAAUGGGUAGAGAAGCACCGGCUAACUACGUG